UUCGCUACAAAAGGAUUUGUUUUUAGUGAACGUGUCACAGUGAAUUUCUCCUAUUUUUUAUUUAUUUAUUUUGAAAAGACGAAGAAACAAAUUCUAUUUUUUCUCUUAUUUACUACGGUGACGAAGAAUCAAAUUAUCACUAUAUUUAUUCCUUUUUCUACUUCUUCUUCCAAGUGCAGGAUAACCCUAAGGGGUUGCGGGUUUUUUUCUACCAAUUGGGGCCUUCCCUUCACCACCCCCAUGGGGAUGGUCUAUAGGGUUCAUAACUACUCCUCUUACUACAGGACGCUUACCUAGCCAACAUUUAGAUCCGGCUCUACCCAAACGUUUCUGGUUCACCCCAGUAUUCCCUAGUUGUCCGACUGUUGCUGAGCAGUUUUUGGAUAUUAAACGAACCUCCCCAAAAGGUAAUUUUAAUGUGGCUGAUUUCCCCUCUUUUGCAAUCAGUUUCGCUACAGCACUUGCAGCUCUAGCUAAUUGUCCACCCUUUCCAAAUGUGAUUUCUAUGUUAUGUAUGGUCGUGCCUAAGGGCAUAUCGGUUGAAGUAGAUUCUUCUUUUUGAUCAAUCAAAACCUCUUCCCAAACUGUACAAGCUUCUUCCAAAGCAUACGACUUUCUGGGUGUAGAUGAUGAUAUCUAUACAGAUGGAUCUUAUAUAUCGUAAAAUAAAAAAAUAUACUAUAUGAGUGGAUAUAUAGGAAUCAAAAUCUGCUGAAUCGCUCAUGUUAUGCUCUUCUACAUCCUAAGUCUUCCCGUUCCUUCAUUUGGCUUAUGUUCUUCAUGUAGCAUUCAGACCGAAUGACUCUAUGAAAUUACGUCGAUACUUCCACAUAUUAAGGGUAACAUAGGAGACAUUUCUAUUUUUUCCCUAGGAAAUCUUUAGAAUUACCACUGCUUAGCUUUCAAUUCGCCUCUGACCAUCAAAUGAAAUGUGAAUAACCCGUCCUCCUCUCUUUGAAACAAGGGGUGCUUUCGGUUCUGUCGGUGCUUGAAACAAUUUUGUCUUCUCUAUAUUACUAUAUCUCUAGAGUCAAUAAUUUUCUAUGAGGAACUACUAAACUCAAUCACUUGCAGCCGUUACUCUCAGUUUUCUGUUGAGGUCUAUCCUGUAGAGGUCUCAAUUUGGAUCAGUGAUCGAUUUCUAGGUUUCGUCGUAAACCUAAUUGGCUACUUCCAAUUACGUAAAUCAAUAGUUCAAACUACACUCAAAGGUAGGGCAUUUCCCAUUUUUAUAGGAACUUCUGUACCAGAAAUAAUGGUAUCUCCAAUUAUAGCCCCUCUAGGAUGUAAAAUAUAUCUUUUCUCACCAUCCCCAUAGUGUAUGAGACAAAUGUAUGCAUUUCGAUUAGGGUCGUAUUCUAUGGUUAUGAUUCUCCCAUAUAUGCCUUUUUCAUUCCGUCGAAAAUCAAUUUUACGGUAUAGACACUUAUGACCUCCCCCUCUAUGCCUUGCGGUAAUGAUUCCUCUGGCAUUAUGGCCUUUACCACAACGAUGUUAUCCAUAGAUCAAAUUAUUUCAUGUAUUUUGUGUAUUGGAUUUCACUUGACUGUCUACGGCUCAAUUGCGUAUGCUCGGGGUAGAAGUUUUGUAUAAAUGUAUCGCCAUGCUAUUAAGUAUUUUGAUUUAAGUUCUUUUCUUUCUAAGAGGUGGAAUAGAAUAACCCGGUUGAAAAGUAAUGAUCAUACGUCUGUAAUACAUUGUAUGUCCCAUAAUAGGUCUCAUUCUUUUACCCUUUCCCGGGAGUCGAUGGCUAUUCGUAGCUAUUACCUUGACACCAAAAAAGAGUUCGACCCAAUGCUUUAUUUCUGUCCUAGUUUAUCCUAAUUCGACAUUAAAAGUAUAUUGAUUUUCCCCAAUAACCGAAUACUUUUGUCUGUAAAUACUGCAUAUUUGAUCCAUCCAUAAAUCUAUUUUCUUCCCUAUGAGUUCUAGUCUCAAUAAGAAUGCUAGUUCUUACUAUUCAUAUGUUAUGAUAUGAAUAUACCACACCAAUUCGUUAUGUAUGGAUGAUGAGAUUCCAUUGAUAUAGAGCCAAUUCCAGUAGACUUAUUGGAGGGUCCCAUUGGCGUGCAUCCAGUAGGAAUUGAACCUACGAAUUCGCCAAUUAUGAGUUAGGCGCUUUAACCAUUCAGCCAUGGAUGCUUAGCGGGGAUCCUCGUACAUGGUGAAUAACCAAAUUCCAAUUGAAAUGAAAUCUUUAGGAUAAAUCAAUGCAAUAUAGGAGGAAUCAAUGGAAGGACAUCAAUUCAAAUCCUAGAUUUUCGAAUUGAGAGAGAUAUUGGGAGAGAUCAAGAAUUCUUAUUAUUUCUUAGAUUCAUGGACCCAAUUCAAUUCUGUGGGAUCUUUCAUUCACAUUUUUUUCCAUCAAGAGCGUUUUAUAAAACUCUUGGACUCCCGAAUUUGGAGUAUCUUACUUUCACGCAAUUCACAGGUUCAACAAGUAAUCGAUAUUUCACGAUCAAGGGUGUAGUACUAUUUGUAGUAGUGGUCCUUAUAUAUCAUAUUAACAAUCGAAAGAUGGUCGAAAGAAAAAAUCUCUAUUUGACAGGGCUUCUUCCUGUACCUAUGAAUUCCAUUGGACCUAAAAUGAUACAUUGGAAGAAUCCUUUUGGUCAUUCAAUAUCAAUAGGUUGAUUGUUUCGCCCGUGUAUCUUCCAAAAGGAAAAAAGAUCUCAGAGAGCUCUUUCCUGGAUCCGAAAGAGAGUACUUGGGUUCUCCCAAUAACUAAAAAGUGUAUCAUGUCUGAAUCUAACUAGGGUUCGUGGUGGUGGAGGAACUGGAUCGGAAAAAAGAGGGAUUCUAGUUGUAAGAUAUCUAAUGAAACCGUCGCUGGAAUUGAGAUCUCAUUCAAAGAAAAAGAUAUCAAAUAUCUGGAGUUUCUUAUUGUAUAUUAUAUGGAUGAUCCGAUCCGCAAGGACCAUGAUUGGGAAUUGUUUGAUCGUCUUUCUCCGAGGAAGGGGCGAAACAUAAUCAACUUGAAUUUGGGACAGCUAUUCGAAAUCUUAGUGAAAGACUGGAUUUGUUAUCUCAUGUUUACUUUUCGUGAAAAAAUAUCAAUUGAAGUGGAGGGUUUCUUCAAACAACAAGGAGCUCGGUCAACUAUUCAAUCAAAUGAUAUUGAGCAUGUUUCCCAUCUCUUCUCGAGAAAGAAGUGGGCUAUUUCUUUGCAAAAUUAUGCUCAAUUUCAUAUGUGGCAAUUCCGCCAAGAUCUCUUCGUUAGUUAGGAGAAUAAUUCGCACGAAUCGGAUUUUUUAGGAACAUAUCGAGAGAGAAUUGGAUUUGGUUAGACAAUGUGUGGUUGGUAAACAAGGAUCGGUAUUUUAGUAAGGCACGUAAUAUGUCGUCAAAUAUUCAAUAUAAUUCCACAAGAUCUAGUUUCGUUCAAGGAAGGAAUUCUAGCCAAUUGAAGAGAUCUUCUGAUCAAUCCAGAGAUCAUUUCGAUUCCAUUAGUAAUGAGGAUUCAGAAUAUCACACAUUGAUCAAUCAAAGAAAGAUUCAACAACUAAAAGAAAGAUCGAUUCUUUGGGAUCCUUUCUUUCUUCAAAUGGAAUGAACAGAGAUAGAAUCAGACCGCUUCCCUAAAUGCCUUUCUGGAUAUUCCUCAAUGUCUCGGCUAUUCACGGAAGGUGUGAAGGAGAUGAAUAAUCAUCUGCUUCCGGAAGAAAUCAAAGAAUUUCUUGGGAAUCCUACAAGAUCCAUUCAUUCUAUUUUCUCUGACAGAUCAUCAGAACUUCACCUGGGUUCGAAUCCUACUGAGAGGUUCACUAGAGAUCAUAAAUUAUUGAAGAAAGAACAAGAUGUUUCUUUUAUCCCUUCCAGGCGAUCGAAAAAUAAAAAAAUAGUUAAUAUAUUCAAGAUAAUCACGUAUUUACAAAAUACCGUCUCAAUUCAUCCUAUUUCACCAGAUCCGGGAUGUGAUAUGGUUCUGAAGGAUGAACUGGAUAUGGACAAUUCUAAUAAGAUUUAUUUCUUGAACAAAAAUCUAUUUUUUGAUUUAUUUCAUCUAUUCCAUGAUCGGAACGGGGGGGGAUACACGUUACACCGCGAUUUUGAAUCAGAAAAGAGAUUUCAAGAAAUGGCGGAUCUAUUCACUCUAUCAAUAACCGAGCCGGAUCUGGUGUAUCAUAAGGGAUUUACCUUUUUUAUUGAUUCCUACGGAUUAGAUCAAAAAUAAUUCUUGAAUGAGGUGUUCAACUCCAGGGAUGAAUCGAAAAAGAAAUCUUUAUUGGUUCUACCUCCUAUUUUUUUAUGAAGAGAAUGAAUCUUUUUAUCGAAGGAUUAGAAAAAAAUGGGUCCGGAUCUCCUGCGGGAAUGAUUUUGAAGAUCCAAAAUAAAAAAUUGUUGUAUUUGCUAGCAACAACAUAAUGGAGGCAGUUAAUCAAUAUGGAUUGAUCCUAAAUCUGAUUCAAAUCCAAUAUAGUACCUAUGGGUACAUAAGAAAUGUAUUGACUCAAUUCUUUUUAAUGAAUAGAUCCGAUUGCAACUUCGAAUAUGGAAUUCAAAGGGAUCCAAUAGAAAAUGAUACUCUGAAUCAUAGAACUAUAAUGAAAUAUACGAUCAACCAACAUUUAUCGAAUUUGAAACAGAGUCAGAAGAAAUGGUUCGAUCCUCUUAUUUUUCUUUCUCGAACCGAGAGAUCCAUGAAUUGGGAUCCUAAUGCAUAUAGAUACAAAUGGUCUAAUAGGAGCAAGAAUUUCCAAGAACAUUUGGAACAUUUCAUUUCUGAGCAGAAGAACCGUUUUCUUUUUCAAGUAGUGUUCGACCGAUUACGUAUUAAUCAAUAUUCGAUUGAUUGGUCUGAGGUUAUCGACAAAAAAGAUUUUUCUAAGUCACUUCGUUUGUUUUUGCCCAAGUUACUUCUUUUUUUGUCCAAGUUUCUUCUCUUUUUGUCUAACUCACUUCCUUUUUUUCUUUGUGAGUUUCGGGAAUAUUCCUAUUCAUAGGUCCAAAAUCUAUAUCUAUGAAUUGAAAGGUCCAAAUGAUCCACUCUGCAAUCAGCUGUUAGAAUCAAUAGGUCUUCAAAUCGUUCAUUUGAAAAAAUGGAAACCCUUCUUAUUGGAUGAUCAUGAUACUUCCCAAAAAUCGAAAUUUUUGAUUAAUGAAGGAACAAUAUCACCAUUUUUGUUCAAUAAGAUACCAAAGUGGAUGAUUGACUCAUUCCAUACUAGAAAUAAUCGCAGGAAAUCUUUUGAUAACACGGAUUCCUUUUUCUCAAUGAUAUCCCAGGAUCAAAACAAUUGGCUGAAUCCUGUGAAACCAUUUUAUAGAAGUUCAUUGAUAUCUUCUUUUUAUAAAGCAAAUCGACUUCAAUUCUUGAAUAAUCUACAUCACUUCUGGUUCUAUUGUAACAAAAGAUUCCUUUUUUAUGUGGAAAAGGCCCGUAUCAAGAAUUAUGAUUUUACAUAUGGACAAUUCCUCAAUAUCUUGUUCAUUCGCAACAAAAUAUUUUCUUUGUGCGGCGUAAAAAAAAACAUGCUUUUUUGGAGAGAGAUACUAUUUCACCAAUCGAGUCACAGGUAUCUAAUAUAUUCAUACCUAAUGAUUUUCCACUAAGUGGUAACGAAAGGUAUAACUUGUACAAAUCUUUCCAUUUUCCAAUUCGAUCCGAUCCAUUCAUUCAUAGAGCAAUAUAUUUGAUCGCAAGCAUUUCUGGAACACCUCUAACAGAGAGACAAAUAGUCAAUUUUGAAAGAACUUAUUGUCAACCUCUUUCGGAUAUGAAUCUAUCUGAUUCAGAAGGGAAGAACUUGCAUCAGUAUCUCAAUUUCAAUUCAAACAUGGGUUUGAUUCACACUCCAUGUUCUGAGAAAUAUUUACCAUCCGAAAAGAGGAAAAAGCGGAGGCUUUGUCUAAAGAAAUGUUUGAAAAAAGGGCAGAUGUAUAGAACCUUUCAACGAGAUAGUGCUUUUUCAACUCUCUCAAAAUGGAAUCUAUUCCAAACAUAUAUGCCAUGGUUCCUUACGUCGACAUGGUACAAAUUUCUAAAUUUGCUAUUUUUAGAUACCUUUUGGGACCUAUUACCGAUACUAAGUAGCAGUCAAAAAUUUGUAUCUAUUUUUCAUGAUAUUAUGCAUGGAUCAGAUAUAUCAUGGCGAAUUCUUCAGAAAAAAUUGUGUCUUCCACAAUGGAAUCUGAUAAGUGAGAUUUCGAGUAAGUGUUUACAUAAUCUUCUUCUGUCCGAAGAAAUGAUUCAUCGAAAUAAUGAGCCACCAUUGAUAUCGACACAUCUGAAAUCGCCAAAUGUUCGAGAGUUCUUCUAUUCAAUCCUUUUCCUUCUUCUUGUUGUUGGAUAUCUCAUUCGUACACAUCUUCUCUUUGUUUCCCGAGCCUAUAGUGAGUUACAGACAGAGUUUGAAAAGGUCAAAUCUUUGAUGAUUCCAUCAUACAUGAUUGAGUUGCGAAAACUUCUGGAUAUGUAUCCUACAUCUGAACUGAAUUCUUUCUGGUUAAAGAAUCUCUUUCUAGUUUCUCUGGAACAAUUAAGAGAUUUUCUAGAAGAAAUGCAGGGUUCUGCUUUUGGCGGCAACAUGCUAUGGGGUGGUGGUCCCGCUUAUGGGGUUAAAUCAAUACGUUCUAAGAAGAAAUUUUUGAAUAUCAAUCUCAUCGAUCUCAUAAGUAUCAUACCAAAUCCCAUCAAUCGAAUCACUUUUUCGAGAAAUACGAGACAUCUAAGUCAUACAAGUAAAGAGAUUUAUUCAUUGAUAAGAAAAAGAAAAAACGUGAAUGGUGAUUGGAUUGAUGAUAAAAUAGAAUCCUUGGUCACGAACAGUGAUUUGAUUGAUGAUAAAGAAAGAGAAUUCUUGGUUCAGUUCUCCACCUUAACGACAGAAAAAAGGAUUGAUCAAAUUCUAUUGAGUCUGACUCAUAGUGAUCAUUUAUCAAAGAAUGACUCUGGUUAUCAAGUGAUUGAAGACCGGGAGCAAUUUAUUUACGAUACUUAGUUGACAUUCAUAAAGAGUAUCUAAUGAAUUAUGAGUUCAAUACACCCUGUUUAGCAGAAAGACGGAUAUUCCUUGCUUAUUAUCAGACAACCACUUAUUCAUAAACCUCGUGUAGGGUGAAUAGUUUUCAUUUUCCAUCUCAUGGAAAACCCUUUUCGCUUCGCUUAGCCCUAUCCCCCUCUAGGGGUAUUUUAGUGAUAGGUUCUAUAGGGUCUGGACGAUCCUAUUUGGUCAAAUACCUAGUGACAAACUCCUAUCUUCCUUUCAUUACAGUAUUUCUGAACAAGUUCCUGGAUAACAAGCCUAAGGGUUUUCUUAUUGAUGAUAGUGACGAUAUUGAUGUGAGUGACGAUAUCGACUGUGACUUUGAUACGGAGCUGGAGUUUCUAACUAGGAUGAAUGAGCUAACUAUGGAUAUGAUGCUGGAAAUAGACCGAUUUUAUAUCACCCUUCAAUUAGAAUUAGCGAAAGUAAUGUCUCCUUGCAUAAUAUGGAUUCCAAACAUUCAUGAUCUGGAUGUGAAUGAGUUGAAUUACUUAUCCCUUGGUCUAUUAGUGAACUAUCUCUCCAGGGAUUGUAAGAUACGAAGGCUUCUUAUUCCAUAACAACGAAAGCACUUUUUUACUCUUUCAUAUACUAAGGGAUUUCACUUGAAAAAGAAAAUGUUCCAUACUAAUGGAUUCGGGUCCAUAACCAUGAGUUCCAAUGUACGAGAUCUUGUAGCACUUACAAAUGAGGCCCUAUCAAUUAGUAUUACACAGAAGAAAUCAAUUAUAAACACUAAUAUAAUUAGAUCUGCUCUUCAUAGGCAAACUUGGGAUUUGCGAUCCCAGGUAAGAUCGGUUCAGGAUCACGGGAUCCUUUUCUAUAAGAUAGGACGGGCUGUUGCACGAAAUGUAUUUCUAAGUAAUUGCCCCAUAGACCUAUAUCUAUCUAUAUGAAGAAGAAAUCUUAUAACGAAGGGGAUUCUUAUUUGUACAAAUGGUACUUCGAACUUAGAACGAGCAUGAAGAAAUUAACAAUACUUCUUUAUCUUUUGAGUUGUUCUGCCGGAUCGGUUGCUCAAGACCUUUGGUCUCUACUCGGACCCGAUAAAAAAAUGGGAUCACUUAUUAUGGACUUGUUGAGAAUGAUUCUAAUCUAGUUCAUGGCCUAUUAGAAGUAGAAAGCGCUUUGGUGGGAUCCUCACGGACAGAAAAAGAUUGCAGUCAGUUUGAUAAUGAUCGAGUGAUAUUGCUUCUUCAGCCUGAACCAAGAAGUCCCUUAGAUAUGAUGCAAAAUGGAUCUUGUUCUAUCCUUGAUCAGAGAUUUCUCUAUGAAAAAUACGAAUCGGAGUUUGAAGAAGGGGAAGGAGAAGAAGUCCUCGACCCGCACCAGAUAGAGGAGGAUUUAUUCAAUCACAUAGUCUGGGCUCCUAGAAUAUGGCACCCUUGGGGCUUUCUAUUUGAUUGUAUCUAAAGGCCCAAUGAAUUGGGAUUUCCCUAUUAGGCCAGGUCAUUUCGGGGCAAGCGGAUCAUUUAUAAUGAAGAGGAUGAGCUUCAAGAGAAUGAUUCGGAGUUCUUGCAGAGUGGAGCCAUGCAGUACCAGAUACGAGAUAGAUCCUCCAAAGAACAAGGCUUUUUUCGAAUAAGCCAAUUCAUUUGGGACCCUGCAGAUCCACUCUUUUUCCUAUUCAAAGAUCAGCCCCUUAUCUCUAUGUUUUCACAUCGAGAAUUUUUUGCAAAUGAAGAGAUGUCAAAGAGGCUUCUUACUUCCCAAACGGAUCCUCCUACAUCUAUAUAUAAAUGUUGGUUUAUCAAGAAUACGCAAGAAAAGCACUUCAAAUUGUUGAUUCAUCGCCAGAGAUGGCUUAGAACCAAUAGUUCAUUAUCUAAUGGAUUUUUCCGUUCGAAUACUCUAUCCGAGAGUUAUCAGUGUUUAUCAAAUCUGUUCCUAUCUAAUGGAACGGUAUUGGAUCAAAUGACAAAGGCAUUGUUGAGAAAAAGAUGGCUUUUCCCGGAUGAAAUGAAAAUUGGAUUCAUGUAAUAGGAGAAAGGUUUCCCAUUCCUUAGCCUGAAAGAUAUGUGACCAUGAAAUAGGGAUUAAUUGGAACAUAAUUGAAACGUAUAUUAAAAUUGGUUAUGUGGUUUAGUCUUGGAUCGGUAUAAUAUAGUUUCAUCUUAGUGUGGUUCUGGUUCGAUUAUCACCAAAAGAACUGAAAUACCAAAAUCACUCAAGGGGGGAGGGGGGAGAGAUGGGGGUGGGGUGAAUUGUGGAUUUUAUGUAGAAUUGAAAAAUUAAAAUUAUGAAUGAAGCAAGAAUAGGAAAUUAAGUGCUUGAAAAUAUAAAGUGAAAGACACUCGANNNNNNNNNNNNNNNNNNNNNNNNNNNNNNNNNNNNNNNNNNNNNNNNNNNNNNNNNNNNNNNNNNNNNNNNNNNNNNNNNNNNNNNNNNNNNNNNNNNNNNNNNNNNNNNNNNNNNNNNNNNNNNNNNNNNNNNNNNNNNNNNNNNNNNNNNNNNNNNNNNNNNNNNNNNNNNNNNNNNNNNNNNNNNNNNNNNNNNNNNNNNNNNNNNNNNNNNNNNNNNNNNNNNNNNNNNNNNNNNNNNNNNNNNNNNNNNNNNNNNNNNNNNNNNNNNNNNNNNNNNNNNNNNNNNNNNNNNNNNNNNNNNNNNNNNNNNNNNNNNNNNNNNNNNNNNNNNNNNNNNGAAGACACUCGAUUUAUAGAGGUUCGGCUCUUCUAGCCUACGUCCUCUCCUCAAUCACAAUUGAAAGUUUGAAUCGAUUAACAAUAUACUUUAGGUGUAGAUAGAACCUUUAUGUUUUGCAAGCUCACACACAACUUACACAAAGUGUUUUUUUUUUUUUUAAAUGGCUAACACUCAAACCCAUAACCUAAGACACUCAAUCUUAGUUGCAUGAGUAAUUAAAUCUCUACCCACUCACUCAAACUCGAGCUUCAGAUACAAGAAUUAAAUCACUUAACUAUCCAAGAAUCAAGUUUAAGUUUGAAACUUGUUCACAAGAUGAUAAUAGAAAGGUUUUCGUGAUUGUUGAGAGUAUAUACACUUUUGUUCAAAAUAAAUUCUCUUAUCCUAAAUCACUUAGAAAUAAUGUUUAUAUACUUCUAGUGAAAUAGAGUCAUCGAAGCUUCAUAUAAAGUGUAAAUAGCCGUUCAACUACUAUAAUAAAUGCAGCUACAUGAGCAUGACCUUUUCUUCAAGGGUGUGAAGCCUCAACGCCAAAUUGGAUUUCAAAAAUUUGGUAAUUCGUCCUACCCAUGAAUAAUUAUCCAUGGCUAGGAAUCUUAGUCUACACGGGCGUGAAGUUUAAUAUUCACGGUUGGGACUAAAACUCGUGAACCUCUUUAUCCCCUUUUAUAAAAAACAAAGAAACCCUCAUUCACGACCAUGAAUAUAGAGUCAUAGGCGUAAAUCUUAAUCUUCACGACUAGGAAUAGAAGCCGUGAAGUCUUCUGUCCUUUUUCUAUAAAAACUGAAGAAAAGGUUUUCAUGAGUGUGAAGGAUAAAGUUCACUGCUGGGACUGGAAGCCAUGAGGUCUUCUGUCCUUUUUCUACUUUUUUUCUAUUUACGUUCUUCAUGGGUGGGAAGAAAUGUUCAUGGGAGUGACACUAUCUUAUUUUGCCUUUACUUGUAAUUCGAAGAGAUUGUGUUAAAACUUUUAAGAGAACACUCAAAGGCAAAAAGUAAAAUACACUUUUAAUGGUUAUUUAUGACCAUCAAAAUAAUUUAAAAACUCUUAAGGUUCAACAAGAACCAGUAUCAUACCAUAAUGGUAAAAAAAUUACAGUUCGGUACAGUUAAGUGCAAAAAAUUUUCAAUUAUUUUGGUUUUUGUAUUUUUCAGAACUGUUUUUUAGUUCAACAACAUCCACGAUCUAUGCCCAGCCCUAAACAAAAUUAACUACUUUUGUUCUAUAAUCAAAAUAUUCAGUAACUUUAUAGUUUAAUUAUUAUUAAAAAUACAAAAUUGUUAACAUCUAUAAUCACACCAUCUAUAAUUACUCAAUUAUUUAGUUAAUCGAAAUCAGUAAGACUACAAGAUUUAAUAUAUAAAUUAAAAAAAAUCAUAUAUAAAAAGAAAUUUGAAAAUCUCCAUACAUUUUAGAUAAAAGUUUUUCAUCUUAUUCUUACUUUUAAGAAUAAACAUGAGUUAUUAAAUGGAAUUUAAUAAGAUGUUAUUCCUCUAGAUAGAGUAAAAAAAAAAUUGAGGAGAGUCGCUCCUCAAUUAUCUUAUAUGCUCUAUAUUGGGCAAAAAAUCUUUAAAACGAAAGUUCAAAAACUUAAUAAAAUUGCAUAUUACUUUAAGGAUCCAAAUCUAAGGACUCAAAGAUGAUUUUUUUUCUUUUUAAAUAAAUACAAGCGUCAAUAAUAAAUGAGAAAAGAGUGGAAUAAAAAAGUACACAGUACUUGAAAUUUUUUCUUUUCUUUUAAAUUUAGCGAAUUUUUUAUUUUAUUUAAUAUUUAAAAAUAUAGAAUAGUAAAAUGCUAAGAACGUUGAAAAAUCAAGAAAAACCCUUUUUUAUUUUUUAUUUUUAAAAUACAAUAUAAAUGAAAUGGUUAACUAGCCCCCACAUUUUAUGAUUUAUCUAUCAGACACUUCUAUUUUCUAAAUUGAUAACAUAUAGAUACAUAGAACCUAACAUGCAUAUUGUAAUCCUAUAAGGAGUUAACCUUAUAAUCCCUUGCUCCUUUAUAUUUAAGGGUAAAUGGAGAUAUGACUUUUCAAUUAAAUAUUGAAGAACCUUAACCGCCUCACAAUUUGCUAGCAUUUUUUAGUUUGCCAUUUGAGAAUGCUCUUUAUGAAAAAGAGUAAAAGUAUUCCUUUUGGGGAAUGCUUGGAGAGGUUUGACUGAUGGUGGUGAACAGGUUGUCGAAGCCCUUCAAAAUAAAUUACUGAUUUUCCUAAACUAACUUGUAGAAAUAGUGAAACCAGGUCGAAUCCUAAGGGAACCAAUGUGGAUAGUUUCUCAAAGUAAAAUAAAAAUGAGGAAAUUUUGAAUGUUUUAAUUAAAAUUAUGAAUAAACAGAAAAUAAUGAAGGCAGAAUAUUAAAGUAAAUAAAAAUCAAUCUUAACAAAUUUCCAAUUCAAGAAUGCUAAUUCCAUCCAAUUGUAAUCAUGAUCAUAGGUUAAAAUAUCAAUUCUUUUAUUCAAGUACUUAGUCUACUUAUUCGAAAAAGCUGCAAUAAGUGUAAUUCUCCUAAUAUAAUUAACUCAAACCCAACAUCCAAAUCAAAACUUACUAUUAGUCAACUGGGCACGAUAGCAUUCCAUAUCAACUUAAUGAUACCAUUAAAAAUAAUGAGAAUGACUAAACCAAUAUUAAUUAAUUGAGAUAACUGCAAUUGAAUUAACCNNNNNNNNNNNNNNNNNNNNNNNNNNNNNNNNNNNNNNNNNNNNNNNNNNNNNNNNNNNNNNNNNNNCCUUUAUUUCCCUAGAACCUAUCAUGCAAGCUAUGUAAUUCGAAUAAGCCGCAAUCACACACACAUGAGCCAGCUCCCUGCUACUUGUGUCAAUCGUUCAUGACAAUUACGGAUCAUAAACUCAAAGUUUAGCAAUAGAAAAAUCAAUAUUAAAGUUGAGUUAUUAGUUCAAUCAAUAUCAAUAAUUCAUAAAUAAUAAGAACAAGAAAUAAAGAAACUUGAAUCAAAGAAGAAUUAUGUUAAGUACAAAGCCUCACAAAAUCACAAUUGGAAUUUAUUCACUCUUGAAUUAGAAACUAAAAACUUAGCUACUCAUGGUGGAGUAAGAAUUCACAAGAAUUGUAGAGAAUAGAAGAAGAAUAAGAAUAUGAAUCUCAAAGUACUCAACCCCCUUUACUUGGUGGAACUAGCCUCAUUAUAUAGGAAGUUAAACCUAAACCCUAAUAAGAGAAUCCUUAUUAAAAAGAAAUAAACUUCCUAUAUGAUAUUAUCCCUAUAUGGAAGGAUAGGAUAAAAAGUAAUCUAAACAAAUUAAAAUCCUAAAUACAUGGAAGAAAGUUUUCUUUAUCCAACACUUCCAAAAAUAAAGGAAAUUAACUAAAGAUGGGUCCACCACAAAUUUAUCUUUGAAAAAUUUGAAACUCUCUUUUGCAACUUUCAGCAGCUCAUGGGUUGCAAGGCGUGGUCAUGCCUUUUUGAAAAUGACCUUUUGCCCAAAUUUUUGCUCUUUCUUCAAAAGACUUGGUUUUUGACAAGUGAUGCUUUAAAACAUGUCUUUUGGCUGAAUUUCAUUCAAUUCUUGAUAUUUCACCAUCUAGAUCAGAAUAAACACAAUUUCUACAACUAAGCACAUUAUCCAAUCAAAAUAUAAGAGAAUUAAACACAAUAAGUAUAACUAUUUAUGACCUAUCAAAUUCCCUCCACACCUAAUUUAUGCUUGUCCUCAAGCAUACCUCAAUUUAACAUACCAAUUCUCCUCUCUACUUCCUUUUUAUCUCUUUUAAUCUCCACAAAUACCAAAUCAGUUAAACAUACAUCAACGAGCUGAAUAAUAAUGACAAUCAAGAGAUUAGCACUCAUAGGAUAAAUUUUGUAAGAAGAACAUAUAUCUCAAUAAUUCAUCAAAAUCAAAACAACAAGACUUAACACCCUAAAAUAGUUUCAUUCAAUACUCUCAAAGUGUUUAAGGUACAUUUGCUCUCAAGAUCAAAACAUAGCAUGUUAUUACCAUAAGCUUGCUAAUGAAUCAAGUCUCUACCACUACACAUGAAUUACAUGCAAAAAUCAAAGGGACUUUACAAGGGUUGUAAUGGGGCUUAGGAAAGGGUAUGAUAAAAGAAAAAAUUAAAGUGUUUCAUAAUCAAGACAAAAAGGUUAGUUACCUGCAUGAUUACUAUGUCACAUAAUCAUAAAACACACUACAAAAACUUUGAGAUUUAUUCCCACAUCUUAUAUUAGCACUAAAAACUUUGGAGAAAUAAUAUGUAACAAUUCAAUUUAAUAUAUUUGAUGAAUACUUCUCCAAUUAUCCUCUUUCAUGAAAGGAAUAAAUAUCAAUUUUUUUUUUUAUUUUUCUUUUUUUUUCGUCUUUUUUUUUUGUUUCAUUUGUACCAUGCAACACUUCCCUUCUUGUCUUGACAAGGGUAAAAAAAUAGAGGUAUCAAACGAAAUAUCUUAGGUUAAACAACAUGUGUUAAAAAUAAGAAAAAACAAAGAAAAUGGAAAAUAGGCUCAAAGUGGUUAACUAAAAGGAAAAUCAACAGGGUAGGUAUUUUAAGAGUCUAAGAAUAGGUUAAUCCUAAUUGCCCUUAUUAUAUUAAAGCAUCAAUCCAAAGAUAUGGUCUUAACAUGCAUUUACAAGCAAGUUCUAGAAUAAACAUACUAAGUUUGAUAACACUCAACAAAAAUAAUUAGAGCAAAAUAUAAUGAACUACUCUUAGGCUCAAAAGCUCACUUGAAUGUUCAAAUUUGUAUCAAGUCUUGUGCAUUUUUCAGUCAAUAAACUAAUGGGAUACCAUCAGAUAAUUUUAAAGAAACAGUAAUCAUGCUUAUCCCUUUUAUGCAUUAAAACUCAAACAAAAAAUGUAUAUCUAACUUACAUGGUAUUCUAGGUUAUCAAAACAAAACUCAAGGUUGUAAAAGAAAAAUUAGCACAUAUGAAUUAAAGCCCACAUAAUUCUAAGCAUAACAAAAAUAUUUUCAACAAGAAAAGGAAAUCAUGUAAUUAUCAUAUUCAUCCCCCACACCUAAACUAUACAUUGUCCUCAAUGUAUCAAAAAAAAAUGGCUCACAAAAGAAAUGAAAUGAAAUAUGAAACUCCCCUGAUUUGCGAGCAACUCGGACAGAAUAGUCAAUGGUGAUGGUGGGAAAGGAGGUAGAACCGCCCAGUGAAAAUAGGAAGAUGGCUGCUGCAAAAGAAAAUAAAAUGUUGGUGGCUGCUGUAAAAUAAAACUUUAUUUCUUCUUCUUCUUCCUUUUUUUUUUUGGUUCCACAAUAAAUAAAUAAGAAAAAUAAAUAAAUAAAUAAAUAAAGAAAAUGAAGUAGAGAAGUCAAAAUGAAUUAGAAGAUGUUUUGAAACAAGGCGUGGUCACGCCUUAUAAGAAACGAGCUUCUGUAGAAAAAAUGAACGUCAAAACAAAAUAGAAGGUGUUUUGAAACAAGGCGUGAUCACGCCUUAUAAAAAACGAGCUUCUGUAACCUUAAGAGCAGUUUUCAAAACAGAAGAUGUUUUGAAACAAGGCGUGGUCACGCCUUAUAAGAAACGAGCUUUUGUAACUUGAAGUGUAGUUUUUUUAUAAGAAACGAGCUUCUGUAAAAAAAAAUUCAGUUAAUGCUUCUGGGAGAGCUGUAAAAGGCGUGGUCACGCCUUAUCGAAAUUAGUCUCCUGCCAGAAAAAAAAUUGAACUUCUUCAUUAAAAAAAUAUUAGAAAAUAAAAUGAAUUAAGUAAGAGAAAAUAAAAGUAUAAAAAAAAAUAAAGAAAGCAUUUGGAUUGCCUCCCAAUGGCACAAUUAUUUAACGUCGUUAUGCUCGACAGAAUGAUAAACAUUUGAGUCAUCCAAAUAAAUGAGGUGAUCCAAAGAAAAACUAAUGAGAAAUUGAGCAAUUUCACCCUCAUGGAAGAUCUUCAAUCUAUGACCAUUCACUUUGAAAAUUUUAUCUGAAUCCAAGCUUUUAAUUUCCACUGCACCAUAGGAAAAUACAUUAGUAAUAAUAAAUGGGCCGAUCCAUUGAGAAUAAAACUUAUCAGGUAUAAGCUUCAAUCGAGAAUUAUAUAAUAAUACUUUUUGACCAAUCCCAUAAUUAAUUCCUUCUAAAUUAGAUUGUGCAUCUAAUUCUUGCUCAUCACUAACACUUUCUUUUGCAAAUACUUCGUGUACAAUUAGAUCAAUUACAUCAAUAUGGCAAAGAGAAUGUACAUUAUUAGGAUAUUUCAUUGCAUCGAAAAUAUUAAAUUUAACAAUCUCUCCAUCAAACUCUAGGAGAGAGCACCCUCAUCUACAUUAAUCUUUGUCUUAGCAAUUUUCAUGAAUGGUCGUCCUAAUAAAAUUGAAGAUGAUUUUGAUGAAGAAUUACCAUCCAUUUCCAAAAUGUAAAAGUCGACAGGAAAUAUGAGCUCAUUAACCUGCACCAAAACAUCUUCAACAACUCCAAGGAGAUGAAUAUAAGAAUGAUCAACUAAUUGAAUCACUACACCAGUCUUUUGCAAGUCAUUUAGUUUCAAAUCUUGAUAAAUAGAAAAUGGCAUGACAUUAAUGGAAGCUCCCAAAUCUAACAUGGCACGCUCAAUUUUCGUAUUAGCAAUAACACAAGGUAAUGAAAACAUACCUGGAUCUUUGCAUUUUUCUGGCAUAUUCUUUUGCAAGAUAGCCGACACAUUUUUACUUACCACCACUUUUUCCUUUUCCUUCAUCCUUCUUUUGUUUGUGCACAAUUUCUUUAAGAACUUUGCAUAUUUAGGAAUUUGCUUGAUAGUAUCCAAUAAUAAGAUAUUUAUCUCCACCUUCCUAAAUGUAUCCGAGAUCUCCUUUCCUUGCUCAUCUUCUUUUGGCUUAGCUAAUCUGCUAGGAAAAUGAGGUAAUGGAGAGUGAGAUGAAAGAAAUAGAGGAGGAUCGAAUUUUACCCCACGUGAUAUUUAGAGGAAGCUUCUUCUUCCUUUUCCUUGAUCGGUUCACUUCCCUUAAGUGGAAUCGACCCUGAAGGAAUCUCCUUUCCACUUCUUAGAAAAAUUGCACUAACAUUCUUCUUUGGAUUUAUCUCUGGUUGUGAAGGUAGUUUUUCAGAAUUUUGAGCCUCUAAUUUACUAACCGACGUAGCCAAUUGAGUAAUUUGAUUGCCUAAAUUCUGAAUGCUUGACCUUGUUUCCUGUUGAAAUUGAAAGGCAUUGUUAGCAAGAUUUUUAAUAAUAUCUUUCAAAGACAUACCUGAAUUUGAAGCUUGAGGUUUUUGGAGAACUUGAGGUGGUCUAAUGAAAUUCUGGAAAGGAUAAUUUUGUUGUCCUCAUUGGUUUCUAUAGCUCAAAUUCAGGUGAUCUCUCCAUCCAGGAUUUUAAUGAUCGGAAAAAGGGUCAUACCUCCUUUGAGGUUGACCAGUAAAUCCGCCUAGAGCAUUAGCUUCUUGCAUCGAGUCAUGUUGCAAUGUUGGGCACAUAUCGGUGAGAUGUCCUUGAACUGAGCAUAUUCCACAAACUUUUGCCAUUUGCAAUUGCCCUACAGCCAUUUGACGAACCAAAGUAGUUAAAUCAGAAAUUUGAUUUUCAAGAUUUUUAAUGCUUACCUCAUUAACUCGUCUUGUAGCUCCAUCAGCUCUUGUACCAAAUUGCUAAGAAUUUUCAGCCAUGUUUGAAAUCAAUUGCUUGGCUUCUUCAGGUGUCUUGUCUAUCAAAGCUCUACCACUUGCUGCAUCAAUCAUACUCCUAUCAAUUGGCAAUAAUCCUUCAUAGAAGUAUUGGGUUAAGAGUUGUUGAGAAAUUUGAUGAUGGGGGCAGCUAGCACACAGUUGCUUGAACCUUUCCUAAUACUCAUACAAUGUUUCUCCAGUGGACUGUGUUAUGCCACAAAUUUCUUUUCUGAUGUUGGCAGCUCUUGUUGCAGGGAAGAACUUAUCUAAGAACAAUCUUUUCAUCUCAUUCCAUGUUGUUAUUGAACCGGAGGAUAGAUAAUAGAGCCAAUCUUUUGCUUUAUCCUUCAAAGAAAAGGGAAAAGCUCUAAGAUUUAUUUGCUCUUCGAUGACACCAUGUGGCUUCAUUUCGGAGCACACAAUAUAGAAUUCUUUCAAGUGUUUAUGAGGAUCUUCACCUGCACAUCCAUGAAAAGAAGGGAGUAAGUGAAUUAAACCAGAUUUUAAUUCAAAAUCAACUACAAUAUUUAGAAAUAUAAUGCAUAAAGGUUGUUGAUUUAAAUCCCGUGCAGCUAGCUCUUUGAAAGUUCCGUUCGCCAUAUUUUCUGUAACUUCUUGAAAAAUAGAUGUGUCACCAAUAGCCAAAUCUAUUUCCAACUCCUCUAUGAGACAACUUUUUCUUUGUCUAGUCUCCUUUCUUAAUCGACACGAUGUCUUCUCAAUUUCAAGAUUAAACUGCAAAUCAAUAUCUUGAGAAGAAUGAGUUAUAAACAAAUAAAUUAAAUAAUGAGAAACUAAAAUAGGUUCUCCGGCAACAGCGCCAAAUUUGAACGGGUUGUCGAAGCCUUUCAAAAUAAUUUUCUGAUUUUCCUAAACUAACUUGUAAAAAUAGUGAAACCAGGUCGAAUCCUAAGGGAACCAAUGUGGAUAGCUUCUCAAAGUAAAAUAAAAAUGGAGGAAUUUUGAAUGUUUGAAUUAAAAUUAUGAAUAAACAGAAAAUAAUGAAGGCAGAAUAUUAAAGUAAAUAAAAAUCAAUCUUAACAAAUUUUCAAUUCAAGAGUGCUAAUUUCAUCAAAUUGUAAUCAUGAUCAUAAGCUAAAAUAUCAAUUCUUCUAUUCAAGUACUUAGUCUACUUAUUCGAAAAAGCCGCAAUAAGUGUAAUUCUCCUAAUAUAAUUGACUCAAACCUAAC
rnacentral:lncRNA from 1 species